rnacentral:tRNA from 1 species
GCCGGGGUGGUGAAAUUGGUAGACACGCAACACUUAAAAUGUUGUGAGCGUAAGCUCUUGCGGGUUCGAUUCCCGCCCUCGGCACCA